GAUGAACGCUAGCGGCAGGCCUAAUACAUGCAAGUCGAACGGUGUCUUCGGACAUAGUGGCGCACGGGUGCGUAACACGUAUGCAACCUACCUUACAUUGGGGGAUAGCCUUUCGAACGGGAGAUUAAUACCGCAUAAGACAGUAACUAGGCAUCUAGUAGCUGUUAAAGAUUUAUCGAUGUAAGCUGGGCAUGCGUCCAAUUAGCUAGUUGGUGAGGUAACGGCUCACCAAGGCAAUGAUUGGUAGGGGAACUGAGAGGUCAAUCCCCCACACUGGCACUGAGGUACGGGCCAGACUCCUACGGGGGGCGGCAGUAGGGAAUAUUGGGCAAUGGACGCAAGUCUGACCCAGCCAUGCCGCGUGCAGGAUGAAGGCGUUAUGCGUUGUAAACUGCUUUUAUACAGGAAGAAACGACUCUUGCGAGAGGCAUUGACGGUACUGUAUGAAUAAGCACCGGCUAACUCCGUGCCAGCAGCCGCAGUAAGAC
rnacentral:rRNA from 1 species